AAAAAGACAAACCCUGGAUUUUCGUAUCCAAUUUUAACGGUCCGUCUUAUAUAAAAAUUUUUUAUAAUUCGUAUUUUUAUUAUUGUUAAAUGAUAAAACAUGAUUAAUAUUUUAUGCGUGACUUGUCUUUUUAAUAUUUUUCAUAUUUUUUUCAAAUAAGACACCGUCGGGCACAGAAAAC
rfam:Oryza sativa Japonica Group DNA, chromosome 6, cultivar: Nipponbare, complete sequence.